UACGUAGGGUGCAAGCGUUAAUCGGAAUUACUGGGCGUAAAGCGUGCGCAGGCGGUUUUGUAAGCCAGAUGUGAAAGCCCCGGGCUUAACCUGGGAAUGGCAUUUGGGACUGCAAGGCUUGAGUGCGGCAGAGGAGACUGGAAUUCCUGGUGUAGCAGUGAAAUGCGUAGAUAUCAGGAGGAACACCGGUGGCGAAGGCGGCUCUCUGGAAGAUUCCUGACUCUGAAACACGAAAGCUAGGGGAGCAAACGGG
rnacentral:rRNA from 1 species